GACGAACGCUGGCGGCGUGCUUAACACAUGCAAGUCGAACGGAAAGGCCCUGCUUUUGUGGGGUGCUCGAGUGGCGAACGGGUGAGUAACACGUGAGUAACCUGCCCUUGACUUUGGGAUAACCUCAGGAAACUGGGGCUAAUACCGGAUAGGAGCUCCUGCUGCAUGGUGGGGGUUGGAAAGUUUCGGCGGUUGGGGAUGGACUCGCGGCUUAUCAGCUUGUUGGUGGGGUAGUGGCUUACCAAGGCUUUGACGGGUAGCCGGCCUGAGAGGGUGACCGGCCACAUUGGGACUGAGAUACGGCCCAGACUCCUACGGGAGGCAGCAGUGGGGAAUAUUGCACAAUGGGCGGAAGCCUGAUGCAGCAACGCCGCGUGCGGGAUGACGGCCUUCGGGUUGUAAACCGCUUUCGCCUGUGACGAAGCGUGAGUGACGGUAAUGGGUAAAGAAGCACCGGCUAACUACGUGCCAGCAGCCGCGGUGAUACGUAGGGUGCGAGCGUUGUCCGGAUUUAUUGGGCGUAAAGGGCUCGUAGGUGGUUGAUCGCGUCGGAAGUGUAAUCUUGGGGCUUAACCCUGAGCGUGCUUUCGAUACGGGUUGACUUGAGGAAGGUAGGGGAGAAUGGAAUUCCUGGUGGAGCGGUGGAAUGCGCAGGUAUUAGGAGGAACACCAGUGGCGAAGGCGGUUCUCUGGGCCUUUCCUGACGCUGAGGAGCGAAAGCGUGGGGAGCGAACAGGCUUAGAUACCCUGGUAGUCCACGCUGUAAACGGUGGGUACUAGGUGUGGGGUCCAUUCCACGGGUUCCGUGCCGUAGCUAACGCUUUAAGUACCCCGCCUGGGGAGUACGGCCGCAAGGCUAAAACUCAAAGGAAUUGACGGGGCCCCGCACAAGCGGCGGAGCGUGCGGAUUAAUUCGAUGCAACGCGUAGAACCUUACCUGGGUUUGACAUGGAUCGGGAGUGCUCAGAGAUGGGUGUGCCUCUUUUGGGGUCGGUUCACAGGUGGUGCAUGGCUGUCGUCAGCUCGUGUCGUGAGAUGUUGGGUUAAGUCCCGCAACGAGCGCAACCCUUGUUCACUGUUGCCAGCACGUUAUGGUGGGGACUCAGUGGAGACCGCCGGGGUCAACUCGGAGGAAGGUGGGGAUGACGUCAAGUCAUCAUGCCCCUUAUGUCCAGGGCUUCACGCAUGCUACAAUGGCUGGUACAGAGAGUGGCGAGCCUGUGAGGGUGAGCGAAUCUCGGAAAGCCGGUCUCAGUUCGGAUUGGGGUCUGCAACUCGACCUCAUGAAGUCGGAGUCGCUAGUAAUCGCAGAUCAGCAACGCUGCGGUGAAUACGUUCCCGGG
rnacentral:rRNA from 1 species